rnacentral:rRNA from 1 species
UAUCCUACGGGGGGCAGCAGGGGGGAAUAUUGCGCAAUGGGCGAAAGCCUGACGCAGCGACGCCGCGUGAGGGAUGAAGGUCUUCGGAUCGUAAACCUCUGUCAGCAGGGAAGAACGGUCACUGUGCUAAUCAGCAGUGAAUUGACGGUACCUGCAAAGGAAGCACAGGCUAACUCCGUGCCAGCAGCCGCGGUAAUAAGGAGGGUGCGAGAGUUAAUCGGAAUUACUGGGCGUAAAGCGCUCGUAGGGGGUAUGUCAAGUCAAGGGUGAAAUCCCCGGGCCC